rnacentral:rRNA from 1 species
AAUCCAGUUGAUCCUGCUGGGGGCUGCUGCUAUCUGGUUUGCAAUUAGACAUGCAAGUUUUUUUGAUUCUUCGGAGUUGAAGAGCGAACUGCUCAGUAACACGUAGCUAACCUAACCUAUCAUCCCGGAUAACCU